AGUAAAAGUGUUAACACGGUGUCUGUAGGUGAGCACGCGGAGGGAUCUCUACACGUGACCCCCGUGUAACCACCGGGAUGUUCAUAACCCUUUGUUGUCCGACUCUGUUGCCUCCGGGGCGACCCUGCCUUCGGGCGGGGGCUCCGGGUGGACACUUCAAACUCUUGCGUAACUUUGCAGUCUGAGUAAACUUAAUUAAUAAAUUAAAACUUUUAACAACGGAUCUCUUGGUUCUGGCAUCGAUGAAGAACGCAGCGAAAUGCGAUAAGUAAUGUGAAUUGCAGAAUUCAGUGAAUCAUCGAAUCUUUGAACGCACAUUGCGCCCCCUGGUAUUCCGGGGGGCAUGCCUGUUCGAGCGUCAUUUCACCACUCAAGCCUCGCUUGGUAUUGGGCAACGCGGUCCGCCGCGUGCCUCAAAUCGUCCGGCUGGGUCUUCUGUCCCCUAAGCGUUGUGGAAACUAUUCGCUAAAGGGUGUUCGGGAGGCUACGCCGUAAAACAACCCCAUUUCUAAGGUUGACCUCGGAUCAGGUAGGGAUACCCGCUGAACUUAAGCAUAUCAAUAAGCGGAGGA
rnacentral:rRNA from 1 species